CGGCGUGCCUAAUACAUGCGAGUCGAACGGUCUUUCUAUGGAAGCUUGCUUCCACUGAGAAGAUAGUGGCGAACGGGUGAGGUAACACGUGGGUAACCUGCCCAUAAGAGGGGGGAUAACAUCCGGAAACGGGUGCUAAUACCGCAUAGUUUUCUUGAUCGCAUGAUCGGGAAAGGAAAGACGGCCUUUGUGCUGUCGCUUAUGGAUGGACCCGCGGCGUAUUAGUUAGUUGGUGAGGUAACGGCUCACCAAGACGAUGAUACGUAGCCGACCUGAGAGGGUGAUCGGCCACAUUGGGACUGAGACACGGCCCAAACUCCUACGGGAGGCAGCAGUAGGGAAUCUUCCGCAAUGGACGGAAGUCUGACGGAGCAACGCCGCGUGAGUGAAGAAAGGUUUUCGGAUCGUAAAACUCUGUUGUCAGAGAAGAACAAGUUGGAGAGUAACUGCUCCAGCCUUGACGGUAUCUGACCAGAAAGCCACGGCUAACUACGUGCCAGCCGCGGC
rnacentral:rRNA from 1 species